GACGUAGGGCGCGAGCGUUGUCCGGAUUUAUUGGGCGUAAAGAGCUCGUAGGCGGCUUGUCGCGUCGUCCGUGAAAACUUGGGGCUCAACCCCAAGCUUGCGGUCGAUACGGGCAGGCUCGAGUUCGGUAGGGGAGACUGGAAUUCCUGGUGUAGCGGUGAAAUGCGCAGAUAUCAGGAGGAACACCGGUGGCGAAGGCGGUUCUCUGGGCCUUACCUGACGCUGAGGAGCGAAAGCGUGGGGAGCGAACAGG
rnacentral:rRNA from 1 species